rnacentral:tRNA from 28 species
GCCGCUGUGGCGGAACUGGCAGACGCAUACGACUCAAAAUCGUACGGGAAACCAUAUGGGUUCGAGUCCCAUCAGCGGCACCA